UAACAAGGAUUCCCCUAGUAACUGCGAGUGAAGCGGGAAAAGCUCAAAUUUAAAAUCUGGCGGCAUUGGUCGUCCGAGUUGUAAUCUGGAGAAGCAUUUUCUGUGUCGGACCGUGCACAAGUUUCCUGGAACGGAAUGUCAUAGAGGGUGAGAAUCCCGUCCAUGGCACGGAUCACCGAUGCAUUGUGAUAUGCUCUCGAAGAGUCGAGUUGUUUGGGAAUGCAGCUCAAAAUGGGUGGUAAAUUCCAUCUAAAGCUAAAUAUUGGCGAGAGACCGAUAGCGAACAAGUACCGUGAGGGAAAGAUGAAAAGCACUUUGGAAAGAGAGUUAAACAGUACGUGAAAUUGUUGAAAGGGAAACGCUUGGAGUCAGUCGCGUUGGUCAGGAUUCAGUCGCUCUUACCGGAGUGGAUUACUUCCUGAUGAACGGGUCAACAUCGAUUUCGAACGGUGGACAAAGGGGAGAGAAAGGUGGCACCUUCGGGUGUGUUAUAGUCUCUCUUUCGCAUACACCGGUUGGGAUCGAGGAUCGCAGCACGCCUUUAUGGCCGGGGGUUCGCCUCACGUAACGUGCUUAGGAUGUUGGCAUAAUGGCUUUAAGCGACCCGUCUUGAAACACGGACCAAGGAGUCUAACAUGCUCGCGAGUGUUAGGGUGGAAAACCCUUGCGCGUAAUGAAAGUGAAAGUUGGGACCUUCGUCAUGGAGGGCACCGACGCCCGGCCUUGAACUCUUGUGACGGUGCUGCGGUAGAGCGCGUAUGUUGGGACCCGAAAGAUGGUGAACUAUGCCUGAAUAGGGCGAAGCCAGAGGAAACUCUGGUGGAGGCUCGUAGCGAUUCUGACGUGCAAAUCGAUCGUCAAAUUUGGG
rnacentral:rRNA from 1 species